rnacentral:rRNA from 1 species
AUUGAACGCUGGCGGCAGGCCUAACACAUGCAAGUCGAGCGGAUGAAGGGAGCUUGCUCCUGGAUUCAGCGGCGGACGGGUGAGUAAUGCCUAGGAAUCUGCCUGGUAGUGGGGGAUAACGUCCGGAAGCGGGCGCUAAUACCGCAUACGUCCUGAGGGAGAAAGUGGGGGAUCUUCGGACCUCACGCUAUCAGAUGAGCCUAGGUCGGAUUAGCUAGUUGGUGGGGUAAAGGCCUACCAAGGCGACGAUCCGUAACUGGUCUGAGAGGAUGAUCAGUCACACUGGAACUGAGACACGGUCCAGACUCCUACGGGAGGCAGCAGUGGGGAAUAUUGGACAAUGGGCGAAAGCCUGAUCCAGCCAUGCCGCGUGUGUGAAGAAGGUCUUCGGAUUGUAAAGCACUUUAAGUUGGGAGGAAGGGCAGUAAGUUAAUACCUUGCUGUUUUGACGUUACCAACAGAAUAAGCACCGGCUAACCUCGUG